AAACUGGGAUUAGAUACCCCACUAUUUUUAGUUGUAAAUUUAGUUUAAGCUUACCAGAGUACUACGAAUAAAAAAGUUUAAAACUCAAAGGGCUUGGCGGUGUUUUAGACCUCUCAGGGGAACCUGUCUCGUAAUCGACAGUCCGCGUUAAACCUAACCUUUUAUAGCAAUACAGCUUGUAUACCGUCGUCGUCAGGUAACUUCUUAAAAUAUAGUAGUUAGCCCGAGAAUCAAGUUAAUUAGGACGUCAGAUCAAGGUGCAGCCAAUAAAAAGGUGAGGAUGGGUUACAAUUACAUAUUUGUAAAUACGGAAAAUAUUUGAAAUAUAGUAUCAUAAAGGAGGACUUGAAAGUAAUUUUAGUUAUAUAGAUAGAAUGAAUAUGGCUCUGAAACGUGCACACACCGCCCGUCACCCUCUGCAGUCA
rnacentral:rRNA from 1 species